rnacentral:rRNA from 1 species
UGAGCAAUCUGCCCUUCUCAUCGGAAUAACCAUUGGAAACGAUGGCUAAUACCGAAUAUGACUUCGGAUCGCAUGAUCUGAAGUGGAAAGCUCCGGCGGUGAAGGAUGAGCUCGCGGCCUAUCAGCUUGUUGGUGAGGUAAUAGCUCACCAAGGCGAUGACGGGUAGCCGGCCUGAGAGGGUGACCGGCCACACUGGGACUGAGACACCGGCAGA